rnacentral:antisense_RNA from 1 species
AAUUUGGGAACGAGAUGCCCGGGGAUGCAACCAGCCCCGCGCUCGGAGGCGGCGGCCGGAGUUCCGUGCGCAGAGGGCACACAAAAGCCUUGAGGAUCAUUGCCUCGACCCCAUCCCCCACCGCGCGGCGACGCCCCCUACGGGCUGGGACACCUCCACCCUCGGACUGCUGCCUGGUUUCCCUCCGGCUGCGACCCUGGAGAAUUUGCCAUCUCCCUACCACCACCACCACACACAGCACCCUCAAGACUCCCUGUGAUCCUGGGAUGCACUAAACGAAGAGUGUGUGGCCCAGGAUUUGAUGGAAAUGCUACAAGAGAAGCAGGCUCUCCCCUUCUGAAAUGAUGAGUGAUAAUGACCAUACAGGUCAACUUUUCCACCACUUGGAGGGAGCCUGUCAAAGAACAAAGGCAACAGAGAAGAGAGCAGAGCUGAGGUUGGGUGAGAGGGAGAAAUGCCUGAGUGCUUGAAUCCCACAUGCCGGAAGCCGCACCACAUUUGGACUUCUCAAUACAGGAGCCACUGAGAAACCAAGUUAUGCUGAAGACCUGGAAAUCCCAGCAGGCUGCAAACCAGCUGCAACUACAAUGGGUCAGCCCUUUUGAGAUGCUGCUGACUACCCACUCAUCUGCCAGGUUAGCCAGUGUUAAGCCAUGGAUUCACCAUGCUCAGAUAAAACCUGUCCCUCUGGGAUCCCUCCAGAAAAAAACAGGCAUGCUUUUGUGAACCCUAAGAUGGCCUUAAGUUAAUAUUCAAUGCCCAGCCAAAGACCCUAAAUAAGAAGUCAUAAAGGGAACAUGUGCUUUUCAGGUACCAAUCACCCUCCAGAUCUAAGAAUGGCUUCAGGCUGGGGCUGCAGUCACCUCUUUGCCCAGCUUCUCCCCUGCCCUAUUCUGUUUCACUUGCAUCCUUAAAGGUUCCACCCAAGAGCUCUUCUACAAGAAAGCACCUAUAAAGCCAGACACAUUGGCUUAUGCCUAUAAUCCUAGCACUUUGGGAGGCCAAGGUAGGAGGAUGGCUUGAGGCCAGGAGUUCAAGACCAGCCUGGGCAACUUAGUGAGGCCCCGUCUCUAUAAAAAAUAAAAAAAUUAACCAGGUGUGGUGGUGCACGUCUCUAGUCUCAGCUACUCAGGAGGCUGUGGCAGGAAGAUGGCUUGAGCCCAGGAGGUCGAGGCUGCAGUGAACUAAGAUCAUGCCACUGCACCCAUCUUGGGCAACAGAAUGAGAUCCUGUCUCUAAAAAAAUAAAAACAAUUUACAACAGUAAGCACCUGUACACAAGCCCCAUCUCCAGUCCUGUUUCUAGGGCUUCCAAUUUAACACACCUAGAGGCUGGGCAUAGUAGCUCAUGCCUGUAAUCCCAAUACUUUGGGAGGCUGAGGCAAGUGAAGCACUUGAGGUCAGGAGUUCGAGACCAGCCUGGCCAACAUGGCAAAACCCCAUCUCUACUAAAAAUGCAAACAUUAGCUGGGCAUGGUGGCACAUGCCUGUAAUCCCAGCUACUCGGGAGGCUGAGACAGGAGAAUCACUUGAACCCAGGAGGUGGAGGUUACAGUGAGCCAAGAUCACACCACUGUACCACAGCCUGAGCAACAAAAGAAGACUCUGUCUAAAAAAAGUAAAAAAUAAAAUAAAACACACCUGGAGCUUUCU